GCCCUCGUAGCUCAGUGGAUUAGAGCGUCUCCCUGCGGAGGAGAAGGCCGAGCGUUCGAAUCGCUCCGAGGGUA
rnacentral:tRNA from 1 species